rnacentral:rRNA from 1 species
GGAGGAGGCUCUUGGGUUGUAAACCUCUUUUCUCAAGGAAGAACUUAAUGACGGUACUUGAGGAAUAAGCAUCGGCUAACUCCGUGCCAGCAGCCGCGGUAAUACGGAGGAUGCAAGCGUUAUCCGGAAUGAUUGGGCGUAAAGCGUCCGCAGGUGGCUAUGUGUGUCUGCUGUUAAAGAGUGAGGCUCAACCUCAUAAAAGCGGUGGAAACUACAUAGCUAGAGUGCGUUCGGGGCAGAGGGAAUUCCUGGUGUAGCGGUGAAAUGCGUAGAGAUCAGGAAGAACACCGGUGGCGAAAGCGCUCUGCUAGGCCGCAACUGACACUGAGGGACGAAAGCUAGGGGAGCGAAUGGGA